rnacentral:lncRNA from 1 species
UACUCAUUAUCCAAGGAGGAGGGAAAUGGACAGAAUUUUGUUUCGUUUUGUUUUUCCGUAGGGCGAUGGCGUGUUCUUGAUUGGGACGUUUUGUACAGUGGCAGCUGAUCCACCUUGAAACAACAGGAGUACAUCCUGCAAAUGUAGCUGUCACCAAUGGAAGGGAGCAGUUCAGAUGGCUUGCUUUGGGACGAAGACCUCAUUUAAGGCACCAAAGGCCGUUUCCAUUUCACCUUCUGCAUUACUCGGAAGCAUGAAAAAGAGGUGUGUGAGACAUUUCCUGUUGAAAAAAGGCUACCAAAGUCCCUUGCAUCGUGUUGAAAGGAAGGAAAGAACUUCAUUAUCAUCACCAUCAGCGGUAUUUAUCGAGCGCUUACUGUGAAGUACGGUGCCUGGCACAUAGUAAGCAAUGAACAGAUACCAUUAAAGGACAGAAAGCAAAAGAACAAAUGAGGACAGAGCUCUGUACUAAGCACUUGGGAGAGUAUAAUGCUAACAGAAAUGGUAGACAUGCUCCCGGCCCGCAGCAGAGUUACAGUUCGGAGAGAACAUGAAACGCUCCAAGAAUUUGCAUUUCAUUCUCGAAAUGCUCAUCGAGACUGUGGGAUGCCACCUACGUG